rnacentral:ncRNA from 2 species
AAGAACAGUGGUGAUGAAACUCGCCUUCUGGAAUAACCAGAAAACCGCCUGUGGGGCUGAUAGUUUCUAGUUCAAU